rnacentral:rRNA from 1 species
CCUACGGGAGGCAGCAGUGAGGAAUAUUGGUCAAUGGCCGGAAGGCUGAACCAGCCAUGCCGCGUGAAGGUCAGUGCCCUAUGGGCGUUAAACUUCUUUUGUGCGGGAGCAAUAAUGGUCACGUGUGGCCAGACGAGAGUACCGUACGAAUAAGCAUCGGCUAACUCCGUGCCAGCAGCCGCGGUAAUACGGGGGAUGCAAGCGUUAUCCGGAUUUAUUGGGUUUAAAGGGUGCGUAGGCGGAUUGAUAAGUUAGAGGUGAAAUGUCCGAGCUUAACUCGGGAACUGCCUCUAAUACUGUUGAUCUAGAGAGUAGAUGCGGUAGGCGGAAUGUAUGGUGUAGCGGUGAAAUGCUUAGAGAUCAUACAGAACACCGAUUGCGAAGGCAGCUUACCAAUCUAUAUCUGACGUUGAGGCACGAAAGCGUGGGGAGCAAACAGGAUUAGAUACCCCUGUAGUC